UAAGAAACCUCCAUGAUCCCACGAAAUUGCAAAAUCAAGCGCACUAAAAGGAUAACAAAUUAACACAGCAAAAACUGCCGCAGAGAUCAGUUUAUCUCUUCUCUUCUUUGGAGAAGUUUAAAACUCAUCUAAUUUCAUCAAGAUGACCAGAUGGAAGAACCAUAGAUUGUUCUACUAUUUCAUUGAUAUGAACGGCAGGAAAUUUGUACAGAUGAUGAAUAUAUCGAAGAACCAACUUGCCGGUGACAAAUUGCGAAAGAAGACGACCCAAUUGAUGGUUGUAGGUUCAACUUCUUAGAUAAAUACAGGAUCGAUGUGGUACUCUAACAUUGUGAAUGCAAGAAGAGACUCAUGUGAAGGUCGUGGUAACAAGAGACGCAGAAACAUAAAAAUUAAAGUCAUCCUUCUCAUUGUUGGGUUAGAGGCUGAUUUUGAAGUUUUUAAUUUGAACAUAAGAUUGAACAACACAAUCUUGAGGAAAUACAUCAUCAACAAAUGGUUAUGGUCAUGCCAAAAGGUACAUACAUUAGAAGUGUAGAACAAGGUUGGUGUUGGAGGUUACAUGGCAUCCGCUCAGUCGACCAGUGCCGAUGAUAUCCGGACACUUUGAAAUGGAGAUCUGCAGUUUUGGAUGAAUGAAUAAUAUCUUUAUAGCUGCUUUGCAAAAAUUGGAGAUGUACUAAACUUUCUGAAAUACGGUGUUGUUGCUGAGUGUUUUAAUAUAUAAAAUUAUGUCUUAGGGAGAAGAAUAGAUCUUUUAAAUUGUUGUGGGAAUUAGUAAGAGUUUGAUGUUGUCAUAUGCUUUGGAUUUAUUUUCUACCGAGUGUUAUGCAGGUUUAUCUGAGGUAAAUGAAUAUUAUGC